AACGAACGCUGGCGGCAGGCUUAACACAUGCAAGUCGAGCGGUAGAGGGGAGCUUGCUUCCCUUGAGAGCGGCGGACGGGUGAGUAAUGCCUAGGAAUCUGCCUGGUAGUGGGGGACAACGUUCGGAAACGGACGCUAAUACCGCAUACGUCCUACGGGAGAAAGUGGGGGAUCUUCGGACCUCACGCUAUCAGAUGAGCCUAGGUCGGAUGAGCUAGUUGGUAGGGUAAAGGCCUACCAAGGCGACGAUCCGUAACUGGUCUGAGAGGAUGAACGGUCACACUGGAACGGAGACACGGUCCAGACUCCUACGGGAGGCAGCAGUGGGGAAUAUUGGACAAUGGGCGCAAGCCUGAUCCAGCCAUGCCGCGUGUGUGAAGAAGGUCUUCGGAUUGUAAAGCACUUUAAGUUGGGAGGAAGUUCAGUAAGUUAAUACCUUGUUGAAUUGACGUUACCGACAGAAUAAGCACCGGCUAACUCUGUGCCAGCAGCCGCCGUAAGAC
rnacentral:rRNA from 1 species